GAUCCGGUGGCCUAUUGGUUAGAGCAUCCUUUUCGGAUGCGGGAAGUCGCGGGUUCGAACCCCAGCUGAAUCA